CGGCUACAGCACUUGGAGGAUGUAUAGCAAUAGCUACUUGCAUCAUCAGUUCCCGUAAGGAAACUGAUGAUGCAAGAUCGACUAUGUCGAAUAAAAUUCUAGGUAGAAUUAUGAUAAUGACAUUGUCUGCCUAUGUGUCUUGACUAAAUUACGUGCCAGCAGUCGCGGUAAUACGUAGAAGACUAGUGUUAUUCAUCUUUAAUCGGUUUAAAGGGUACCUAGACGGUAAAUCAAGCCUACGAAUAAAAUAAAUGUAGGGACUAAUUUACUAGAGUUACUUAUGAGGGGGUUUAAAAGUACUGCUGGUGUAGAGAUGAAAUUCUGUCAUACCUCUUUUCAAUAGAAAAAUAACGGCACAGGUAUAGGCGAAAGCAUCCCCUUAUGUGAUAACUGACGUUGAGGGACGAAGGCUUUGUGUAGCGAACAGGAUUAGAUACCCUAGUAGUCAAAGCAGAAAAUGAUGAAUGUCAUAGAUUAGACGUAUAAGUUUAUUCUAUAAAUGAAAGUGUAAGCAUUCCACCUCAAGAGUAAUUUGGCAACAUUGGAACUGAAAUCAUUAGACCGUUUCUGAAACCAGUAGUGAAGUAUGUUGUUUAAUUUGACGGCACCCAAAAAACCUUACCACAAUUUGAAUAUUUAUAUUUUUUUUAUUGUUUUCUUAUUAAUUUUAUUCCUUUUCUGCUGAUCAGAAUAUGAGAAGAUCAGAAAAUCAGAAAAUUAAUGAAGAGGCAAUAAGGUAUAUUUACAAGCGUUGCACGGCUGUCUUCAGUUAAUGUCGCGAGACUAUGGUUAGUUCCAUUAAAUUAACGUAAACCCUUACUUUAUUUAUAUAUAGAGUAGUUCCCCGUGAUAUUGGAUAUGAUAACAGGACUAAGACAAUCUGAUGCGUA
rnacentral:rRNA from 1 species